UGAAUACGAGAUGCUACGGCGUCGAAGCAGUGUAUGUCAGACUUCCAAGAAAAGCUCGCAAUGUCAUAAAUAAAGAAUGCCUGUACCAUAACCGACACAGGUGGGUAGGUAGAGUAUACUAAGGGGCGCGAGAUAACUCUCUCUAAGGAACUCGGCAAAAUAACUCCGUAACUUCGGGAGAAGGAGUGCCUUCUUUAAGAAGGUUGCAAUAACAAGAUCCAAGCAACUGUUUAUCAAAAACACAGGUCUCCGCUAAGUCGUAAGACGAUGUAUGGGGGCUGACGCCUGCCCAGUGCCAGAAGGUUAAAGAAGUUGGUUAGCUUUUGCGAAGCUGAUGACUGAAGCCCUGGUGAACGGCGGCCGUAACAAUAACGGUCCUAAGGUAGCGAAAUUCCUUGUCGGGUAAGUUCCGACCCGCACGAAAGGCGUAAUGAUUUGGAUACUGUCUCGGAGAGGGACUCGGUGAAAUAGACUUGUCUGUGAAGAUGCGGACUACCUGCACCAGGACAGAAAGACCCUAUGAAGCUUUACUGUAACUUGAAAUUGAAAUUGGACUUUAUUUGCGCAGUAUAGGUGGAAGGCGUUGAAAGUAAUCUUGCGGGAUUAGUGGAGCCAUCAGUGAGAUACCACUCCUAUAAUGUUAGAUUUCUAACUUUGGAUCAUGAUCUGGUCAAAGAACAGUUUCAGGCGGGCAGUUUGACUGGGGCGGUCGCCUCCCAAAUGGUAACGGAGGCGUACAAAGGUUUCCUCUGAACGGGUAGAAAUCGUAUCUAGAGUGUAAAGGCAUAAGGAAGCUUGACUGUGAGACCUACAAGUCGAGCAGGGACGAAAGUCGGUCUUAGUGAUCUGACGGUGCUGAGUGGAAAGGCCGUCACUCAACGGAUAAAAGUUACUCUAAGGAUAACAGGCUGAUCUCCCCCAAGAGUUCACAUCGACGGGGAGGUUUGGCACCUCGAUGUCGGCUCAUCGCAUCCUGGGGCGGUAGUACGUCCCAAGGGUUGGGCUGUUCGCCCAUGAAAGCGGUACGCGAGCUGGGUUCAGAACGUCGUGAGACAGUUCGGUCCAUAUCCGGUGUAGGCGUUAGAAUAUUGAGAGGAGCCUUCUUUAGUACGAGAGGACCGAGAAGGACAUACCUCUGGUGUACCAGUUAUCGUGCCAACGGUAAACGCUGGGUAGCUAUGUAUGGAGAGGAUAACCGCUGAAAGCAUCUAAGUGGGAAGCCCACCUCAAGAUGAGUAUUCU
rnacentral:rRNA from 1 species